UAGGGAAUCUUCGGCAAUGGACGAAAGUCUGACCGAGCAACGCCGCGUGAGUGAAGAAGGUUUUCGGAUCGUAAAACUCUGUUGUUAGAGAAGAACAAGGACGUUAGUAACUGAACGUCCCCUGACGGUAUCUAACCAGAAAGCCACGGCUAACUACGUGCCAGCAGCCGCGGUAAUACGUAGGUGGCAAGCGUUGUCCGGAUUUAUUGGGCGUAAAGCGCGCGCAGGCGGUUUCUUAAGUCUGAUGUGAAAGCCCCCGGCUCAACCGGGGAGGGUUAUUGGAAACUGGGAGACUUGAGUGGAGAAGAGGGGAGUGGAAUUCCAUGUGUGGCGGUGAAAUGCGUAGAUAUAUGGAGGAACACCAGUGGCGAAGGCGGCUCUCGGGUCUGUAACUGACGAUGAGGCUCGAAAGCGUGGGGAGCAAACAGG
rnacentral:rRNA from 1 species